rnacentral:misc_RNA from 1 species
GGGACCCCAGACCCAGAGGCCGCUUUGAUGCACAGUGCUCUGUUUGGCUCUAACAAUGCCUUCCCUUUCCUUUCUUUCUUGGCCUUUCCUUUUUCUUUCCUUCUGGGUGGUUUUGCUAAUCUCACCUGCAUAUUCACUUAACUGCACAUCCCAGAAGUUCACCAACAAGCUUUUUGAUAAUUGCACAGACCUGCCCACACUCAAUGCCUACCUACACUACACCUACAACCCCUCCAACUCCUCCCUUUCAAUCGCCUUAAAGGCGCCUCCGGCCAAGACUGACGGCUGGGUGGGAUGGGGCAUCAACCUCAAUGGGACUGGCAUGGCAGGUGCCCAGGCUCUUGUGGCAAUGAAAAACGGCACCGUAGUGGUCGUGAAGAAAUACAGCCUCGCUUCCUACAGUGAUAUCAAGGAGACAUCGAAGCUGACGGUUGAUGUCUGGGACUUGAGCGCAGAGUCUGACUCCGCUGGGAACUUCGUGAUCUUUGCUUCUGUGAAGGUCCCGGUAGGUCCGUCGGUGAACCAGAUUUGGCAGGUGGGUCCAUCGGUGAACAAUGGGUUUCCGGCCAAGCACAAUUUCGACAAAGCAAAUCUCCAGGCCAAGGGAACACUGCAACUAGUGGCUUCACAGAGCAGUGGCGGAAAUACUACAACCGGAACUGGUUCUGAUUCUACUACUGGCAGUUCUUCUCGCACUAAUAGUACUGGUGCUGGAUCCAAGAUUAAGGAGCUGAAUGCUGGUUUUCACUUUGGGCUUCUUGCUCUUCUAGGAAGUCUUACAGUUUUCUGAUUUGGUGAUUUUGAUUUUGAGAAUUUUCUUGUAAUUUUGAUGGAAUUUCUUGUAAUUUUGAUGGAAUUUUGGUAGUGAUUUGAGAUAAUUGAUUAGUUUGUAGAAAGCGAAUAAUUAACUAAUGUGUAUGUG